UCUGGUAAUGAUGGCAGAGAGGUCACACCCGUUCCCAUACCGAACACGGAAGUUAAGCUCUCUAGCGCCGAUGGUAGUUGGGACCUUGUCCCUGUGAGAGCUCAGCUGGGAGAGCACCUGCC
rnacentral:rRNA from 1 species